GAAGUAAACGAGGUAAUCGCUGGUGGUGAAUACCACGAGAGGAAAGUCCGAGCUUUAUAGGGCAGGGUGCCGGCUAACGGCCGGUGGGGGCAACCCUAAGGCUAGUGCCACAGAAAUGAAGACCGCCGAUGGAGAAGCUGAUUCUCACAGGUAAGGAUGCAACGGUGCGGUAAGAGCGCACCAGCAACAUGGAGACAUGUUGGCUAGGUAAACCCCACCCAAAGCAAGACCGGAUAGGAGAUCAGAUACUGUUGCCCGCAGUGAUCUCGGGUUGGUCGCUUGAACCUCAUAGCAAUAUGAGGUCUAGAGAGAUGAUUACCCCUUCAAUGUGGCAGAUGUUCAAGCCAUCGCAAUGACCACAAGAAGGACAGAACUCGGCUUAUUGUUUGCUUCUUAA
rnacentral:RNase_P_RNA from 1 species